rnacentral:lncRNA from 1 species
CAAACUAUUUUAUUAUGACCAAUUGUUUUUUAUUACAAAAUAAACUGUAAAACUGUAAAUAAAUCAGUCUUAAUAACUAUAUAAAUAACAAAUUAUAUGACAGUGUGUCCACCUAGGGUAAAAGACGAUGAUGCCUUUGUAAGACAGAGUGACUGUACCUAUAUGUGAAAAAAAUCUAUAAUUUCAUACUAAAUAUCACUGUUGAACCAUUAUCUGUUAUAUACAAAAUACAUCGAUUAACUGACACAUAAAAAUCAAGUGAAAUGUGGUAUCAAAAAUCAGAUUUCAUUCAUAAUUCAUAAUCAUAAUGAAAUUUCCAGUACUGUGCAUUCAUUAUUAUGCAUUGGAUACCUAUUUUCACAGAUUUCAUGUGUACAAGUGAACCACGAAAUGAAACGUUCAACGAAUGACAUAGUUUCUAUAGGAUUGUACACAGACUUCGGAAAAACAAAGAAAUUAAAUUUCAAGGACAUGCAAGUUUUCCUUAAUCCAUGAAAAUAAAUGAAUCCAAAGUUUUUGUCUCACACUAGUAGGAUUGCCAAUUCCUGAGGAAUUCCAGGCUUGUGUCAUCAAAAUCAUUUUAGUAUGUUGCUUUCCACAAAUCAUUGUUACCAUAAAUAAGUUAUGCAAUCCAUAGUUAUGUAUAAUCAGUACACGCUUUUUCCCCAAGGAAAUUCAAGAUAAUAAGUAUUCUAAUGCAAUUUGGAUGUAACAAUUUUUUUCAUUGGCUAAAAGUUGCCGUCAAAUACACAGUUGACCAGGCGUAACUAAGGAGGGACCCGCCAUUUUGAAUUGAUUGAAUCAACAAAUGUUCGAAUGUAAUGGAAAAUAAAACAACACCUACCUCGAAUUCGCUGUUUUAAUGUAAUUUUAUCCGAAUCUGAAGCGUACAGGUAACAUAAUAACCUCCAGUUUGUAAGUUUUCAUUUGUAUGAUGUCACGUUUAGCCAUGACGUCUUUGUGCCAAAAUCAUUCAUGAAGUUUCGCGGAUUUUUUUCUAUUUGUCAAAUUUAGACAUUUUUUUCAAGUUUUAUCGUAUUUUUUCUUUUUAUAAUGCAUUAGAAUCGGAAUAACAGUACUGUAGUGGAAGAGUUGUCACCGUCAAUUUUGAUUUGACGGUUGCAAAUCUCCGUUUUACUGUCUCCGCUACGCGUUGCCAGUAAAACUGCAUUUGCGACUGUCAAAUCUACAAUUGACGGUGGCAACUCUUCCACUACAGUACUGUUAUUUCUUAACUAGUGAGUUAAUUUGGUGGAAAUCAGUUGCAAGUUACAUGCUGUUGUUUAAAUUGCUAUGAUUUGUGGAAAAUAGCUACUGCAGAAAACUGACCAGCCUAUUUAAUUAAGAUUGGAAUAAAACUUAAAAUAAACUAUUAACCUAACAUGUUAUAACCAGAGUUUUAUAAUCUACAUUUACUAGAAAAAGUUCAGAAAUUUCAUAAAAAACAGUAGUAAAAUGCAUUUUUCUUAUUUUUUCAACAGUUAACAGGCACUGAAACCUUUUUUUCAACUAAAAUGUCCAUUUUAAGCAGCUACUUCUUCACCCAAACAGAUGAAUUUACAAAUACAGCAAAAAAAAAUACUACAAAAAUAAAGAAAAAUAUAUUGAUAUAAAAUACCUGAGGUAUAUGAAAUAAAUAAAUCAAUAAAAAAUGGCAAUUUCAAUAUGACUGACAAAAAUUCAAAAUUUGUUACUGUAGAUUCAUUAUUAUUCGUUGGAUACCAAUUUUCGUGGAUACCAAUUUUCAGGUAAACCACGAAAUUCAAUAUCCACAAAUAUGCAAGUUUUCCAUAAUCCAUGAAAAUUGGUACCCACGAAAAUUAAUGAAUCCACAGUAUGCAAAAAAAAAGCAUAUUCAAUGAGCAAUUAUUUGCAAGUUUCCAUCUGAGGUACAAAAAUAUAUAAUGAAUAAAAACAGAUCUGUUUCAAUAAACAACAAUAUCACAGAUAAUUAACAAAAUUAACAAACACUACAUACAAAUAAACAUAUAUAAUAGUUUACUUUAAAGCAGAGCCUAUAAAACAAAAUUGUUUUACUAUCAAAAACUGCUCCCACUAGCCUUUCCUCACUGACAAACGUGGUCUAAAAUUUUUAUCUAUGCUGACAUGUAAAGGAGUAAGUUCGGUAAGGAUCAUAUUUGGCCCCGAUUAUAAAAUUGAAUGGUACAAGAAGAAAUAUGUGAGAAAGUAAAACAACUCUUUGUGUCAAAGUUUUAUUCUAAAGCGUUGAUUUUUACAUCCAAAAUGAGUUAUAUAAGAGAUUUUGAUGAAAUUUGACAAAAUUGGUUAGAUUUCAACCAAAUGUAGGACCAGGAAACAUAGAGCGCAGGUGUCGACAAACUAAAUAUUCAAGUUAACAUGCAAAAUGUCAUUACAAACAUUGUGUUCAAAGAUCUUUUUUGUCGAUGUAUGUGCUCUAUGUUUCCUGUCCAAUGAUCAAUGCAAAACUUGCCAAUUUUCAUUGAUUUUUCAUGGAAAUAGAAAUGAGUACAGUUUGUGACGUCAUCAGUAGAACGCAGAAACGUAAAUUUUCAACAAAAAGACUCUUUUCCUAUCUAGUCAAUGUAUUAGCUUUGAUUCAUUGUGAUAUUGGUCAAUAAAUCGUUAUUUGAAAUUUAAGGUAAAAAAGAGGGCCAUUUUAGGACCUUAUCGAACCUCCUCCUUUACAUGUAUAUUUGUUUAUUUUAUGCUGACAUGCAAAUUUGUUUAAAGACACUACUGUUAUUCUAAUUUUAAUGCAUUGCAAAUGAGAAAAAUUCAUCUAAGAUUUAAAAACUGAUUAAAUUCUAAUCAAAAUAACAUUAUGCAAAUUAUCCAUUAGUAUGUUACCACAGUGUGAACAAAAAAGUAAACUGAAUACAACCUUUUUACAUUGAUAUUUAAAAUAAUGCCACUAUCAGAAGAAUCAU